UCUUAAAUGCACAAAGCAGCACAUCUGAAAGAGAGAGAGAGAGAGAGAGAGAGAGAGAGAGAGAAUUUCUGACUUGUUCCAUCAUAUGGAGAAAACACUUCUACUGAUCCUCUUUAUGUCUACAGACAUAAUGGCUGACAGAAUUGAUCCUGAGAAAGAGUUGGUCUCUCACCAUGAAGGGGAAAAUGAAAUGCACAUUUGGAGCCAGCAGCAAUUACAUGAGGCUUUACUGGUACAGAAAGCAUCCAAAUGAAGCUCCUCAGUAUUAACUGUGGAAAGGUGCUCGAUCUCAGCCAGGUGGACAUAAAUCUGACCAACGGUUUGGUAUUACUACGGAGCACUCAUCUACUGAACUCAUUAUUAAUGGCCUGACUUUGGCAGACACAGCUCUCUACUACUGUGCCCUGAGGGAUGUUACCCAGUGAUACAAAGUCAGCAAAAAGCUGAACAAAAUCUUAUUUAUUCAUUAUGUCUUUCAGGCCAACAGACAUCAAAGACAUUCAAGACAUUUCCUGCCAAUGCUCUGAUGUCAAUCUAAACCUGAACGCUGAGUGUGGUCACACCUGUUACCAGAAAUAAACGCUAUUGAACCAUACUAUAAUGCAUGCCUUGUACAAGAAAUAAAUGCUAGUGCACACAGGAAAUGGUGCAGAUAGCUUACCCUGA